GACGAACGCUGGCGGCGUGCUUAACACAUGCAAGUCGAACGGAAAGGCCCUGCUUUUGUGUGGUGCUCGAGUGGCGAACGGGUGAGUAACACGUGAGUAACCUGCCCUUGACUUUGGGAUAACUUCAGGAAACUGGGGCUAAUACCGGAUAGGAGCUCCUGCUGCAUGGUGGGGGUUGGAAAGUUUCGGCGGUUGGGGCUGGACUCGCGGCUUAUCAGCUUGUUGGUGGGGUAGUGGCUUACCAAGGCUUUGACGGGUAGCCGGCCUGAGAGGGUGACCGGCCACAAUGGGACUGAGAUACGGCCCAGACUCCUACGGGAGGCAGCAGUGGGGAAUCUUGCACAAUGGGCGGAAGCCUGAUGCAGCAACGCCGCGUGCGGGAUGACGGCCUUCGGGUUGUAAACCGCUUUCGCCUGUGACGAAGCGUGAGUGACGGUAAUGGGUAAAGAAGCACCGGCUAACUACGUG
rnacentral:rRNA from 1 species